AAACAUGAGAGUUUGAUCCUGGCUCAGGAUGAACGCUGGCGGCGUGCCUAACACAUGCAAGUCGAACGAAGCAAUUUAACGGAAGUUUUCGGAUGGAAGUUGAAUUGACUGAGUGGCGGACGGGUGAGUAACGCGUGGGUAACCUGCCUUGUACUGGGGGACAACAGUUAGAAAUGACUGCUAAUACCGCAUAAGCGCACAGUAUCGCAUGAUACAGUGUGAAAAACUCCGGUGGUACAAGAUGGACCCGCGUCUGAUUAGCUAGUUGGUAAGGUAACGGCUUACCAAGGCGACGA
rnacentral:ncRNA from 1 species